GUGAGGAAUAUUGCGCAAUGGAGGCAACUCUGACGCAGCCAUGCCGCGUGCAGGAAGAAGGCGCUACGCGUUGUAAACUGCUUUUAACCGGGAAGAAACCCCAGGACGUGUCCUGGGUUGACGGUACCGGAGGAAUAAGCACCGGCUAACUUCGUGCCAGCAGCCGCGGUAAUACGAAGGGUGCAAGCGUUAUCCGGAUUCAUUGGGUUUAAAGGGUGCGUAGGUGGAGCGUUAAGUCAGUGGUGAAAUCCUGCAGCUUAACUGUAGACUUGCCAUUGAUACUGGCGCUCUUGAGUGCGCUUGAAGUGGGCGGAAUGUGCCGUGUAGCGGUGAAAUGCUUAGAUAUGGCACAGAACACCAAUUGCGAAGGCAGCUCACUAAGGCGAUACUGACGCUGAGGCACGAAAGCGUGGGGAUCGAACAGGAUUAGAAACCCUUGUAGUCC
rnacentral:rRNA from 1 species